rnacentral:misc_RNA from 1 species
UCCGGCUUAUCACCGGCGGUUUCUUUAGAGUGCCCAACUAAAUGAUGGCAACUAAAGACGAGGGUUGCGCUCGUUGCGGGACUUAACCCAACAUCUCACGACACGAGCUGACGACAGCCAUGCAGCACCUGUGUUCCGAUUCCCUUUCGGGCACACCCACCUCUCAGCGGGCUUCCGGACAUGUCAAGGGUAGGUAAGGUUGUUCGCGUUGCAUCGAAUUAAUCCACAUCAUCCACCGCUUGUGCGGGUCCCCGUCAAUUCCUUUGAGUUUUAACCUUGCGGCCGUACUCCCCAGGCGGGCAACUUCACGCGUUAGCUACGGUACUGAGAAAUCGCUUCCCCAACACCCAGUUGCCAUCGUUUAGGGCGUGGACUAC